ensembl:lncRNA
GGUCAGUAGGGUGUCCUUGUAGAGUAGUGGUCAGGAUGGGGUGGGGUCCCUGUAGAGUGGGGUCAGUAUGGGUGGGGGUCCGUGUAGAGUAGUGGUCAGUAUGGGUCUUGUAAAGUAGGUCAGUAUGGGUAGGGGUUCCUUGUAGAGGUAGUGGUCAGUAUGGGUCCUUGUAAGAGUAGGGGUCAGUAUGGGUAGGGGUCCUUGUAGAGUAGUGGUCAGUAUGGGUAGGAAUCCUUGUAGAGUAGUGGUCAGUAUGGGUCCUUGUAGAGUAGUGGUCAGUAUGGGUAGGGAUCCUUGUAGAGUAGUGGUCAGUAGGGUAGGAUCUUGUAGAGUAGUGGUCAGUAUGUUGGGUCCUUGUAGAGUAGUGGUCAUAUGGGUGGGGGUCCUUGUAGAGUAGUGGUCGUAGGGUAGGGGUCCUUGUAAGAGUAGUGGUUCAGUAUGGGUAGGGUGGCCUGUAGAGUAGUGGUCAGUAAUGGGUAGGAAUCCGUUAGAGAGUAGUGUCAGUAUGGUGGGGGUCCUUGUAGAGUAGUGGGAGUAGGGUAGGUCCUGUAGAGUAGUGGUCAGUAAUAGGUGAAGUGUGGUCAGGUAUGGGAGGGUUCCUUGUAGAGUAGUGGUCAGUAUGGGUAGGGAUCCUUGUAGAGUAGUGGUCCUUAGUAUGGGUAGGGGGUCCUUGUAGAGUAGUGGUCAGUAAGGGUAGGGGUCCUUGUAGAGUUAGUGGUCAGUAUAGGUCCUUGUAGAGUAGUGGUCAGUAUGGGUAGGUAUCAUUGUAGAUAGUGGUCAGUAUGGGUGGGGAUCCGUGUAGAGUAGUGGUCAGUAUGGGUGGGGGUCCUUGUAGAGUAUUGGUCAGUAUGGGUAGGGGUCCUUGUAGAGUAGUGGCUCAGAGGUCCUUGUAGAGUAGUGGUCAUUAUGGUAGUGGAGGUCCUUGUAGAGUAGUGGUCAGAUAGUGGUGUAGGAGUCCUUGUAGAGUAGUGGUCAGUAUGAGGGUCUUGGUAGAGUAGUGGUCAGUAGGGUGGGGGUCCGUGUAGAGUAGUGGUCAGUAUGGGUAGGGUCCUUGUAGAGUAGUGGUCAUUGGGUAAGGAUCCUUGUAGAGUAGUGGUCAGUAUGGGUGGGAUGUGUAGAGAGUGGUUCAGUAGGUGGGGUCCUUGUAGAGUAGUGGGCAGUAUGGGUAGGUCCUAGGUAGAGUAUGGUCAGUAUGGGUAGGUCCUUGUAAGUAGUGGUCCAGUAUGAGGGGGGUCCUUGUAGAGUAGUGGUCAGUAUGGGUUAGGGGGUUAGUAAGAAGUAGUGGUCAGGUAUGGGUAGGGUCCUGUAGAGUAGUGGUCAGUAUGGGUGGGUCCGUGUAGAGUAGUGGUCAAUGGGUAGGGUCCUUGGUAGAGUAGUGGGGUCAUGUAGGUAGGGUCCUUGUAGAGUAGUGGUCAGUAUAGUAGAUGGGUAGGGUGACUUGUAGAGUAGUGGUCAGUAUGGGUGGGGUCCUUGGAGAGUAGUGGUCAGUAUGGGUGGGGUCCUUGUAGAGUAGUGGGUCAGUAAUGGGUGGGGGCCUUGUAAGAGUGGUCAGUAGGGUGGGUCCUUGUAGAGUAGUGGUCAGGAUGGGUAAUCUUGUAGAGUAGUGGUCUAGGGUCCUGUAGAGUAGUGGUCAGUAUGGGUAGGGUUUCCUUGUAGAGUGUGUCAGUAUGGGUAGGGUUGAGGUUGUCAGUAUUGGGGUCCUUGUAAGUAGUGGUCAGUAAUGGGUAGGGUCCUUGUAGAGUAGUGGUCAAGUAUGGGUAGGGGUCCUUGUAGAGUAGUGGUCAGUAUGGGUAGGGUCUUGUAGAGUAGUGGGUCAGUAUGGGUGGGUCCUGUAGAGUAGUGGUCAGUAUGGUAAGGGUCCUUGUAGAGUAGUGGUCAGUAUGGGUGGGGAUCUUGAGAGUAGUGGUCAGUAUGGGUAGGUCCUUGUAGAGUAGUGGCAGUAUGGGUGGGGGGCUUGUAGAGUAGUGGUCAGUAUGGGUAGGGGUCCUUGUAGAGUAGUGGUCAGUAUGGGUCCUUGUAGAGUAGUGGUCAGUAGGGGUGGGGUCCUUGUAGAGUAGUGGCAUAGGGGUGGGGGUCCUUGUAAGUAUUGGUCAGUAGGGGUGGGGGGUCCUUGUAGAGUAGUGGUCAGUAUGGGUGGGGGUCCUUGUAGAGUAGUGGUCAGUAUGGGUGGGUCCUUGUAGAUAGUGGUCAGUAUGGGUGGGGGUCCUUUGUAGAGAAGUGGUCAGUAUGGGUAGGGGUCCUUGUAGAGUAGUGGUCAGUAUGGGUAUGGGUAUCCUUGGAGUAUGUGGUCAGUAUGGGUGGGUCCUUGUAGCGUUAGUGGUCAGUAGGGUGGGGUC